UUUAAUAGAAACAGGGUUUCACCAUGUUGGCCAAGCUGGUCUUGAACUCGUGGGCUCAAGACAUCUGCCCAUCUUGGCCUCCCAAAGUGCUGGGAUUACAGGCGUGAGCCACUGUGCUUGGCCUUGCAUGGUUAUUUUAACUCUAAUAACUAAUACUGCAUUAAAGUCUCCAUAUAUAGAACUUUCUUUUUAUUCUUUUGAACUAUUACCUUGCAAUAAUCUCAAGAAUGAGAUUGCUACAUCAUAGAGUGUGACUAUAUCAUAAGCCUAUUUUCCAUUUCUGUUGUUGGCUUGCAUAAAAGUAAAAUUUACCUCCACCUGACACAAGCAUCUCAAUCAAGAGUUUUCUAUUUAUCAAGCAAUUUUGGUAUAGCCUUUCAUAAGAAUGUUUUAUAUGGCAAAAUUAAAGAAAAGGAACAAACUGUUUCCCUUUUCAUUAUAGAAACCAUCAACACUCAAGUACGGCCUAUGCCAAAGCCUGUGCCCUUCUAGAUUUCUUCUGAUGUUGUGUGUAGUGACCCAUAUCCUUCUGCAUAAAAGACAGUCGAGAAA
rnacentral:lncRNA from 1 species